rnacentral:rRNA from 1 species
GACGAACGCUGGCGGCGUGCCUAAUACCUGCAAGUAGAACGCAGUUGCGAACGGGUGAGUAACGCGUAGGUAACUGCCUCAUAGCGGGGGAUAACUAUUGGAAACGAUAGCUAAUACCGCAUACUGUGAGAUGGACCUGCGUUGUAUUAGCUAGUUGGUGAGGUAAAGGCUCACCAAGGCGACGAUACAUAGCCGACCUGAGAGGGUGAUCGGCAACACGGGAACGGAGACACGGUGCAGACUCCGACGGGAGGCAGCAGUGGGGAAUAUUGAACAAGGGGCGCAAGCCUGAUGCAGCCAUGCCGGGUGUAUGAAGAAGGCCUUCGGGUUGUAAAUUACUUUCAGCGAGGAGGCGUUACUCGCAGAAGAAGCACCGGCGAACUCCGUGCCAGCCGCCGCGGUAAUUC